CAGCAGCCGCGGUAAUACGUAGGGUGCGAGCGUUCAUCGGAUUUACUGGGCGUAAAGCGUGCGCAGGCGGCCCGUUAAGACAGGUGUGAAAUCCCUGGGCUCAACCUAGGAAUUGCGCUUGUGACUGGCGGGCUCGAGUACGGUAGAGGGGGGUGGAAUUCCUGGUGUAGCAGUGAAAUGCGUAGAGAUCAGGAGGAACACCGAUGGCGAAGGCAGCCCCCUGGGCCUGUACUGACGCUCAUGCACGAAAGCGUGGGGAGCAAGCAGGAUUAGAUACCCUGGUAGUCCACGCCCUAAACGAUGGGUACUAGCCGUUUGGUGCGCGAUAGCGCUGAGUGGCGAAGCUAACGCGUGAAGUACCCCGCCUGGGGAGUACGGCCGCAAGGUUGAAACUUAAAGGAAUUGGCGGG
rnacentral:rRNA from 1 species